rnacentral:rRNA from 1 species
GACGAACGCUGGCGGCGUGCUUAACACAUGCAAGUCGAACGGAAAGGCCCUGCUUUUGUGGGGUGCUCGAGUGGCGAACGGGUGAGUAACACGUGAGUAACCUGCCCUUGACUUUGGGAUAACUUCAGGAAACUGGGGCUAAUACCGGAUAGGAGCUCCUGCUGCAUGAUGGGGGUUGGAAAGUUUCGGCGGUUGGGGAUGGACUCGCGGCUUAUCAGCUUGUUGGUGGGGUAGUGGCUUAUCAAGGCUUUGACGGGUAGCCGGCCUGAGAGGGUGACCGGCCACAUUGGGACUGAGAUACGGCCCAGACUCCUACGGGAGGCAGCAGUGGGGAAUAUUGCACAAUGGGCGGAAGCCUGAUGCAGCAACGCCGCGUGCGGGAUGACGGCCUUCGGGUUGUAAACCGCUUUCGCCUGUGACGAAGCGUGAGUGACGGUAAUGGGUAAAGAAGCACCGGCUAACUACGUGCCAGCAGCCGCGGUGAUACGUAGGGUGCGAGCGUUGUCCGGAUUUAUUGGGCGUAAAGGGCUCGUAGGUGGUUGAUCGCGUCGGAAGUGUAAUCUUGGGGCUUAACCCUGAGCGUGCUUUCGAUACGGGUUGACUUGAGGAAGGUAGGGGAGAAUGGAAUUCCUGGUGGAGCGGUGGAAUGCGCAGAUAUCAGGAGGAACACCAGUGGCGAAGGCGGUUCUCUGGGCCUUUCCUGACGCUGAGGAGCGAAAGCGUGGGGAGCGAACAGGCUUAGAUACCCUGGUAGUCCACGCUGUAAACGGUGGGUACUAGGUGUGGGGUCCAUUCCACGGGUUCCGUGCCGUAGCUAACGCUUUAAGUACCCCGCCUGGGGAGUACGGCCGCAAGGCUAAAACUCAAAGGAAUUGACGGGGCCCCGCACAAGCGGCGGAGCAUGCGGAUUAAUUCGAUGCAACGCGUAGAACCUUACCUGGGUUUGACAUGGAUCGGGAGUGCUCAGAGAUGGGUGUGCCUCUUUUGGGGUCGGUUCACAGGUGGUGCAUGGCUGUCGUCAGCUCGUGUCGUGAGAUGUUGGGUUAAGUCCCGCAACGAGCGCAACCCUUGUUCACUGUUGCCAGCACGUUAUGGUGGGGACUCAGUGGAGACCGCCGGGGUCAACUCGGAGGAAGGUGGGGAUGACGUCAAGUCAUCAUGCCCCUUAUGUCCAGGGCUUCACGCAUGCUACAAUGGCUGGUACAGAGAGUGGCGAGCCUGUGAGGGUGAGCGAAUCUCGGAAAGCCGGUCUCAGUUCGGAUUGGGGUCUGCAACUCGACCUCAUGAAGUCGGAGUCGCUAGUAAUCGCAGAUCAGCAACGCUGCGGUGAAUACGUUCCCGGG